rnacentral:rRNA from 1 species
GAUGAACGCUAGCGGCAGGCUUAAUACAUGCAAGUCGUGGGGCAGCAUGAGUAGCAAUACUUGAUGGCGACCGGCAAACGGGUGAGGAACACGUACACAACCUUCCUUCAAGCGGGGAAUAGCCCAGAGAAAUUUGGAUUAAUACCCCAUAAUAUAUUUGAUAAGGCAUCUUAUUAAAUAUUAAAGCUUCGGCACUUGAUGAUGGGUGUGCGGCUGAUUAGAUAGUUGGCGGGGUAACGGCCCACCAAGUCUACGAUCAGUAGCUGAUGUGAGAGCAUGAUCAGCCACACGGGCACUGAGACACGGGCCCGACUCCUACGGGAGGCAGCAGUAAGGAAUAUUGGACAAUGGACG